GAGCUCAGGUUUCCCUUCAUUAUAUGCGUGCUAAUCUUUCGCCUUUUACUAAAGAUUACCGUGGAGGGAAACAUUACAAUGAGCCUAUAGGCAAUUUUUGAAGCGGGAUGAUUUCCUAAUCAAA